rnacentral:rRNA from 1 species
AACGAACGCUGGCGGCAUGCCUAACACAUGCAAGUCGAACGAGACCUUCGGGUCUAGUGGCGCACGGGUGCGUAACGCGUGGGAACCUGCCCUUAGGUUCGGAAUAACUCCCCGAAAGGGGUGCUAAUACCGGAUAAUGUCUUCGGACCAAAGAUUUAUCGCCUUUGGAUGGGCCCGCGUUGGAUUAGCUAGUUGGUAGGGUAAAAGCCUACCAAGGCGACGAUCCAUAGCUGGUCUGAGAGGAUGAUCAGCCACACUGGGACUGAGACACGGCCCAGACUCCACGGGAGGCAGCAGUGGGGAAUAUUGGACAAUGGGCGAAAGCCUGAUCCAGCAAUGCCGCGUGAGUGAUGAAGGCCUUAGGGUUGUAAAGCUCUUUUACCCGGGAUGAUAAUGACAGUACCGGGAGAAUAAGCUCCGGCUAACUCCGUG